CGGCUGCGAAGCCGCUUCCGCCCGCGGCCCGGGCACUUCCGCCCCGCUCCCGCCGCCAUUUCGGGCUCUGCGGGGCUGCGCCGGGUGGUCCCCGCGGAGGGCGGCGAGGGUGACCGCGGCACUGGGGCAUCGUUCCCACGAGGAAAGGCUGAGGGAGCUGGGCCUGUUCGGCCUGAGAGGCUCGGACGACUGAGAGGGGACUUCAUCCAUGUCUAUAAGUAUCUGAAUGGAGAAUGUCAGACAGACUCUUCUCGGUGGUGCCCACCACUAGGACAAGAGGCAACGAACAGAAACCGAUGCACAGCAAGUUCCACCUGAACAAGAGGAAGAACUUCUUUACUGUGCGGGUGACUGAGCACUGGGACAGAUUGCCCACAGAGGUUGUGGAGUCUCCCCCUCUGGAGAUAUUCCAAAACUGUCCGGAGGCAAUCCUGUGCCAUGGGCUCUGGGAUGACCCUGCUCGAGCAGGGAGGUUGGAGCAGUGACCCUCUGUGGUCCGUCCAUCCUGACCCAUUCGAUGAGCCUGUGGUCUGGGCGAGGAUAUGCUGUUGACUUGUUCCUAUGGUUUUCCAUUCGCCUCAUAAUCCACCAGUGACGAGCAGCUGCUGCUGUGUCACAAAAGGAGACGGGUGGUCUCUGCUGCUACAGGACUGGUACAACCUAACACUUCUAAUAGACUAACAAAACAAGGGAAUGAAGUUAAACCUGUGACCAUGCUCUCUUUUUCUUCAUCAUGCCAGACCACUUUUGUGACCAUACACCACGAGCCACUUGAAGGUUUAGAGCCCCUCGAGCUAUGGAGUUGAGGAGCCCUUCCCCAGCCGUCCAUUGCUACAUGCACAGCGUGGAGUGGUGAAGUCAUAUAUCUUCCAAGACACCAUGCCUUUAUUUAGAUGGAUAUACUGGGAUUAAGUCUUCCAGCAGCCUGCACUUCAAGACUGAGAAGGUGUUAUAUAAAGGAAUUGCAGCUGUUCGAACUAUGAACUAUCUUGCUGUUAAAACUAUUUGGUUAGUUCAGAGAUCCCCUAUGUUCUGGAGUUUUCCAUUCCUCUUCCUACAGUCAUUUAAGUUAUUUAUGACAUAUUUUUAAUUAUUCAAAACACAUUUCUUAGUCUUUUCAGUUCCCAUGUGGAGCAGCUGGCUUCAGUUAGCUGAACAUUAUUGUUAAGCCUCACUUUAAAGUACUUCAAAAUUCUUGUAUAAAUUGCCUUACACUCUUAAUUAAGGGGAAGGAUGUGGCUGUUACAUAAAAAAAAAAAAAAUCUGCUCUCUAUACCAUGUCACAGUCCUAAACCAGAAUCUCCCAAACACAUCCUGCUUGGGGCUACCAGGGUGAAUAGAGCUGAUGUUAAGAAUUAGACAUUCUUAGACAUCACUAAUUUGGUUAAGAGACCACCUGGGAACCCCGUCUUAUCCCCCAAGCCAAAGCUAGGAAGAUGUCAGAAUUCUAGACCACUGAAAUGGAAUGAAACUCCCUCUGGACUUCUUGCCAUUGCAGAUACAAACGACAGGGCAAAGAAGAGACAAAAAUCUAAAUGCCUAAAAUCUAAAUUGCCAAUCUCAGUAAAGUGUACAAUUGUACAGUCUUUAACUGCAUGAACUGCCACUGUGAAGUUGCAAAAUAAAGGGGAGAGGCAGU